rfam:Colletotrichum incanum strain MAFF 238704 contig677, whole genome shotgun sequence.
ACAUGCGACCAUACCCACUGGAGAACUCGGGAUCCCGUCCGCUCUCCCAUCGAUAAACCAGUGAGGGCCGGAGUAGUAGUUGGGUCGGAGACGACCAACGAAUGUCUGGUGUUGCAUGUU